rnacentral:rRNA from 1 species
UACGGGGGGAGCAAGCGUUGUUCGGAUUUACUGGGCGUAAAGGGCGCGUAGGCGGCCACCGCAAGUCGGUUGUGAAAUCUCUGGGCUUAACCCAGAAAGGUCAACCGAUACUGCGGGGCUAGAGUGCAGAAGGGGCAAUCGGAAUUCUUGGUGUAGCGGUGAAAUGCGUAGAUAUCAAGAGGAACACCUGAGGUGAAGACGGGUUGCUGGGCUGACACUGACGCUGACAGCGCGAAAGCUAGGGGAGCAAACGGG